AGAAGUGCUUACCUGCGCUGGACCAUGUAUAAGUCUCCUGGAAUGGAGCGUCACAGAGGGUGAGAAUCCMGUCCUUGACAUGSGCUGCCAGUGUGUUGUGGUGCGCUCUCRMAGAGUCGAGUUGUUUGGRAAUGCAGCUCUAAAUGGGUGGUAAACUCCAUCUAAAGCUAAMUAUUGGCGAGAGACCGAUAGCGAACAAGUACCGUGAGGGAAAGAUGAAAAGGACUUUGGAAAGAGAGUUAAACAGUAUGUGAAAUUGUUGAAAGGGAAACGCUUGAAGUCAGUUAUGUUGGUUAGGGAUCAACCUAGCUAUUUUUUGCUGGGUGAAUUUCCUAGUCUGACAGGCCAACAUCAGUUCUGACUGCUGGAAAAGAGCAGAGGGAAUGUGGCACCUUUGGGUGUGUUAUAGCCUUUUGUCAUAUGUGGCAGUUGGGACUGAGGGAUGCAGCAUGCCGUGAGGCUGGGUUUCGACCAUGUUCAUGCUUAGGAUGUUGGCUUUUAAUGGSUUCAAUCGACCCGUCUUGAAACACGGACCAAGGAGUCUAACAUGCCUGCCGAGUGUUUUGGGUGGUGAAAACCCUUUGUGCACAAUUGAAAGUGAAA
rnacentral:rRNA from 1 species